GAUUUAAGCUGUUUGUAGAUUGAUUUUAUAGUGACAUUGCUAGCUACUUAUUUACCUCAGCCUGCCUAGUCAGCUGACGUUAGCUAGCUAGCAGACAGUUUUCUUUAGCUAACGUUAUCUAGCUAGCUAACUGUCAUUGUAGAUUUCUGUUUGUAUGUAGCUUGCACUUUAAUGGCAUCCCUCGAGGAGAUUUUAUUUUAUCUUUCCAAACAGGCGAAGUACGAUGAAGGCACCACUGAUCUCGAAAAGAGGCACAAUAUUUGUAGUGGGGCAGAAAAAUUCAGAGUUCAGGUCCUGGUCAACACACAGGCAUCAUGCAGUCAGAUGAUGGGCAGCAAAGAGCCAGAUGAAUGGAGCUGCUUUACAAGGAAUGGAGAAGGAACAAAAUAGCCAUUUGGAUAAAUCUGGAGAAAACACUGACAAACUUGACAUCUCAAGAUAUGAUGGAGAGCACUGAAGACGUGGGCGAUAAGAGGGCAACAGAGGAAGAAGAUCUGUAGAAUAUCUGUCAAUAGGCUGUGGCACAAGAGGAAGGAACAGUGGAUCAACCACCGUUGAAUUGUGACUCCACUUUAUCUCUAUACUGACACUUCGCUUGUUUGAUUGCCUUACGGCGGGAAUAACUACACUGUUUGUAUUCAGCCAUAUUUCCAGUCGCCUUGCCAUGAUUAAAUGCGGUGGUACAUGCUUUCAGUUUUGCACGAAUGCUGCCAUCAAUCCAC
rnacentral:lncRNA from 1 species